rnacentral:lncRNA from 1 species
CAGUUGCUGUUGGGGACUGAUUACUGGGUAACACCUUUGUUCUUUUUUCCUUCCACUAGACUGGACAACUUUAAUGGAGACCUGACCUGACGGAAGGUGUCAACCCCUUUCAACUUUCUUCUUUGACUUUGAAAUCGUCCCUCUUAUUAUACAACUUAGAGACAGUCUUCUGUAAACUAAAAUAUCUAAUUUAUUUCUUAGAAAGGAAAGACAGGGAAAGAGAGAGACAGGGUAGAGGGAUCAAGAAGACCCUGCCAACUAUUCCCUAAUGGUUAUUUUUAGAUGGUGGGAUCAAACUGUCUUUCGAGGAAAAUAUAUUUCCCCUCAGGGAAAUGAUGAUCCAGGGUGAGCUUCAGUACACGGCAAAAACACUUUACAUCAGCACAGCUAGGUAAAAAGGGUAUUAGAAGAGCAACUCUCCUCCCUAGCACUUUUCAGAGUCUUUGGUAAGACAGUGACCAGAAUCAGUUCUGGUCAACAGUUUUUCUGCUUUUGAAUCUUCCAUGGAAUUCUCAAUUCUCCCUUCCCCCACCAGCUUCCUGAAUGUUCUUUCUGCCUCUCCUAGGUCCAUCUUCUUUAAAUCUCAGAUUUUCUCUGCUUUUAACCAUUUCUAUUGAUUACAAAAUCCCUUUUUAAGUUUCCACUAAUCAAUUUUUCAAAACUACCCAUUUCUGGGAAAAUUCCUCUUUGGUAAAACUGAAAACAAAAACAGAAAGAAAAUCAAAAAUUAAGUUCUGGAUAAUAAGAUUUGUUCAGCAAUUUUGAAAAUAUUCUAGCUGUGGCCUACCUGUUUUCCUAAGGAUGGUAACACUCUCCUUAAUUCAAGAAAACUCAAAAUGAUUGGAUGCAAAGUCAUCUUCUUUUGGAGUCUGGCCCAUUCUAUUCCCCUGAUGGAAUUUGCUGAUAAUAUUCAAGAAAAAAAUCAAGGCAGAAUCAUCAGAGGAAUCAGUACUCUGUAUAUUUUAUAGACUGUUCUGUAGAAGCUAAUUACUCUAGAUUUUCUAGGCCUUCUUCUACUUCAAUUGUCCCUUCAGUAAUCUCCACUUAAAUUGCCAGAGACUCCAACUCGUCAUUUAUAAUACAGAAAAAAGACUUCAUAUUCCCAGGGAAUUGACAGCUUAUCACAUAAAAUGUGUUCCAUCUGCCACUUCAACAAUGAAUAAGUGAACCUCCUCUUUGUCCUUCAUGCUAUCUGCCUUAAUUUGGGAUGAUUUAGAGUAUGUACAAAUUCUCAGUAAUUACAAAAC